rfam:Euroglyphus maynei isolate Arlian Lab scaffold49871, whole genome shotgun sequence.
GUGUCUUUGGCGUAGUGGUUAUCGCGUCUGCUUUACACGCAGAAGGUCCCAGGUUCGAAACCUGGAAGACACA